GACGAACGCUGGCGGCGUGCCUAACACAUGCAAGUCGAACGGAGACAUUUAGCAAUAGAUGUCUUAGUGGCGGACGGGUGAGUAACACGUAGGAAUCUGCCUGAUAAUGGGGGAUAACCCGGGGAAACUCGGGCUAAUACCGCAUACGCUCUACGGAGGAAAGCGGGGGACCGAAAGGCCUCGCGUUAUCAGAUGAGCCUGCGUCCGAUUAGCUGGUUGGCGGGGUAAAGGCCCACCAAGGCGACGAUCGGUAGCUGGUCUGAGAGGACGACCAGCCACACUGGAACUGAGACACGGUCCAGACUCCUACGGGAGGCAGCAGUGGGGAAUAUUGGACAAUGGGCGCAAGCCUGAUCCAGCAAUGCCGCGUGUGUGAAGAAGGCCUGCGGGUUGUAAAGCACUUUAAGCAGGAAAGAAGGGCGUGAGGCCAAUACCCUCGCGCAUUGACGUUACCUGCAGAAUAAGCACCGGCUAACUCCGUGCCAGCAGCCGCGGUAAUACGGAGGGUGCGAGCGUUAAUCGGAAUUACUGGGCGUAAAGCGCGCGUAGGCGGUUCGCUAAGUCCGCUGUGAAAGCCCCGGGCUUAACCUGGGAACGGCAGAGGAUACUGGCGGGCUAGAGUGUGGUAGAGGGUGGCGGAAUUUCCGGUGUAGCAGUGAAAUGCGUAGAGAUCGGAAGGAACACCAGUGGCGAAGGCGGCCACCUGGACCAACACUGACGCUGAGGUGCGAAAGCGUGGGGAGCAAACAGGAUUAGAUACCCUGGUAGUCCACGCCGUAAACGAUGAGAACUAGCCGUUGGGCACAAUUCGGUGCUUAGUGGCGCAGCUAACGCGAUAAGUUCUCCGCCUGGGGAGUACGGCCGCAAGGUUA
rnacentral:rRNA from 1 species